UACGGAGGGGGCCAGCGUUGUUCGGAAUCAUUGGGCGUAAAGGGCGCGUAGGCUGCUCAGUAAGUCAGUUGUGAAAUCCCUCGGCUCAACCGAGGAACUGCGUCUGAUACUGCUGAGCUUGAGUCCCGGAGAGGGUAGCGGAAUUCCCAGUGUAGCGGUGAAAUGCGUAGAUAUUGGGAGGAACACCAGUGGCGAAGGCGGCUACCUGGACGGGUACUGACGCUGAGGCGCGAAAGCGUGGGGAGCAAACAGG
rnacentral:rRNA from 1 species